rnacentral:lncRNA from 1 species
AAAGCUGACAGAAGGAAGGUGUAAAAGACGUUUAACUUUUUACACGCCAACCUGCGCUAAAAAGUUUGAUGCAUUUGUUAAAUAUAAAUUGGUACCUAUUACUUAUAGCUUUUUUGUAUUUGGCUACAUAAGUUUUAGAAAAUAAUACAUCAGCACCAAUUACUUUGAGACUAAAUAAAAAUAAAUAAUAAAAAAUAGCUUUCCAUUUUAAAGUUCUUAACCAAAUUGAG